rnacentral:rRNA from 1 species
GACGAACGCUGGCGGCGUGCUUAACACAUGCAAGUCGAACGGAAAUGCCCUGCUUUCGUGGGGUGCUCGAGUCGCGAACGGGUGUGUCACACGUGUGUACCCCGCCCUUCACUUCGGGAUAACUUCACGAAACUGGGGCUAAUACCGGAUAUUAGCUCCUGCCGCAUGGUGGGGGUUGGAAAGUUUCGGUGGUUGGGUAUGGACUCGCGGCUUAUCCGCUUGUUGGUGGGGUAGUGGCUUACCAUGGCAUUGACGGGUCGCCGGGCUGAGAGGGUGACCGGGCUAAGGGGGACUGAGAUACGGCACGGAGCACUGGGGGAGGCAGCAGUGGGGAAGAUUGCACGAUGGACGGAAGCCUGAUGCGGCAUGGCGGCGUGCGGGAUGUAGGCCUUCGGGGUGUAGGCCGAUUGCGCCUGUGACGAAGCGUGGUUGACGGUAAUGGGUUAAGAAGCGCCGGCUAACUACGUG